CUAACAACACUGUACUACGAAACAUUUUUUCCCGCUCAAGGCUUUGGUACUAAACCUCCGCAAUGUGCGCCAAAUAACUAAUCAAUCACUUGUAGCCGUUAACACAGAGCAUGAACAACUCUUCUUGAUCUAUAUGAAUGUGUGUCUGUGCGCGUAUUUCGUCGUAAUUAUAAUGUAUGGCGAAAAUGCUUUAAACUAAGUGCGUCUCACUCGCCCAGCCAAGCUGCUGAUUGACUAACUGACAAAUGGUUGCAGUCAUGUUUGUGCCCAACCCAAUUCCCACCUGCGCGAAAUGGUUCAAAUGUCAUAACAAGAUGGCGCAUACAUGUCAUGCCAACACAUACAUAUGUCUGGACACACACACACAUUUGCAUUUGCAUGCACAGUGUGCACAAUGGCGGGCAGGACUGGGAACAAUGACAAGCACAUUGGGCGUCGUUGGCGUCCAACUGCCUGCACCAGGCAAUAAUAAUUCGCCAGUGCCAGUCAUUGACAAUGUCGGUGCCAUAAUGGCUCUCCACAGACUGACUGACUGCUGCUUGUGUUGUCGUUGCAAAAGUUAUUGUACCCUGUACCCACGGGCGUAAGCGCAUAAGUUGACCGCACAGGUUAGAGCGUUCCGUUAUAACUACAAAUAAGGCUGGCCACGCCUCUUUCUGUGAUCGCAAAUCAGAAUUAUCGAUAACAUUUACAGUUUUGUAGAAAUGACAGGGUAGUGCAGCGUUCAUACUUUCAUAUUGCUCAUAUUGCUGCACUGCGUCGAAAUGACAGAGGGUGCGACACCUACAAUUGCGAGAGUCGUCUAAAUGAAUGAAUUAAGUCAGCCAUGUGACAUAACUGCAAUGACCGCGCUGCUGCUGAUGCCCAGUGCCCCAGUCGCCCAGUCUCCGUUCGAGUCGCAGUCGGAGUCGCAGGGUCAGCCUCAGUCUUAGUCCCUUGUUGCCUGGCGGAGGCGAAUGCUAAAGCAGCAAAGUGCCAACGCCUCACGUUGCACAUUUGCCACAUUGUUUUGUUGCUGUCAUUCCUGACGCCUUCUGACGUUCUUGUGAUUACGUAUUUGCUGCUCGCUGCUGUGUCGCUGCCCGUUGCCAAAGUUAUAUGGCACACACGUACAGCAGCAGCAGCAACAGCAGCACACGCUCCUACUCCCUCACGGCCCUGUCCACGCCCAGGAUGCCAACGAGGCCGUCGGUUGGCGCAGGACAAUGGCAAUGCCGGAAUGCAAAUGGCGUGUGGACGUGAACGAAUCGCGCACACGGCGCAAAAUGUUGUUGCUGCCACUUGAAUUACAUAUGCAGGCCGCGGGAAGCUGAACUUAUCACAUUGCGCCUAGAGCUGAGCGCGUGUCGUGUUUUCAACGGUGACGCGAACACGCGCCAUUUGAGAUGACACGAUCGUGUUAAGAAACUCUGAAAUCUUACGGCAUUUACAAUAAAAACUCAAGCGAAAAUAAUUAAAUAAGAUAAAAGUUAUGUUCGUAUAUUUGGCUCGCGCUAAAUAUGUAUUAAAACUGGAAGCUAGGACGAUAUAGAACGCAAAGUUUCUAGAUAACAUCCGCUAAAA